AGAAAAAGAAAAAAAAGUCAGUAUGUUGACACAUGUCUUUAAUCCCAGCACUCAGGAGUCAGAGGCAGGAAGAUCUUUGUAAUUUUGAGGCCAGCCUGGUCUACAAAGUGAGUUCCAGGACAUGCAGGGUUCAGUUACACAAAGAACUCUGUCAUAAAAGUCCAAAGAGGCAAAAUAGUAAUAAUAAUAAUAUAAAAAUAAAUUUAAUUAUUUUUGUUUCUUUCAAAAAUGCUUAAAAAUACAUUUAUUUGGGCUGGAGAGACGGCUCAGCGGUUAAGAGCACUGACUGCUUUUCCAGAGGUCCCGAGUUCAAUUCCAGCAACCACAUGGUGGCUCACAAUCAUCUAUAAUGGGAUCUGAUGCCCUCUUUAGUUAUGUCUGAAGAGAGCAACAGUACAGUCAUAUGCAUAAAAUAAAUAAAUUUUUAAAAAAUUAUUUAUUGUGUCUAUGUAUGCAUACAUGCCUUCUUGAGUGCUACCAUAUUUAUUUUUUGUAUUUAUUUAUACUGUGUAUGUGUUUGUGUGUGUGCACAGAUGUCAGAGGACAACUUGCAAAAGUCAGUUCUCUCCUGUGGUGGUUUGAGUGAGAAGCGUCCCCAUGGAUUCAUACAUUUGAAUGCUUUGUCCAAUGUUGAGCUGACUAUCUGGGAGGGAUUAGGAGGUGUGGACUUGCUGGAGGAAGUGGGCCACCAGGAAGGUGGCUUUGAGAUUUCAAAACCCAGAGCCAUUCCCACCCAGUUAGUAGUCUGUCUCCCUCACCGCUGCUGUCUCCAUGGAAGCUUUCAGUUGUUGCUCUAGAGUCAUGCUUGCCGGUUUCCAUGCUCCUCGACACAAUGCUUGUGGACUCUGCUGCCCUCCGGAAUCAUGAGCCCCAGACUAAAUGCUUUCUUUCAUAUCCUCAUGUGAUCUGAAACUCACUGCAGUGAAAACAGAAGGGAACGGUCCUGUCAGGAGAAUGACCCCCUGCAGUUAUCAGAGCUUCUUUACAGGAGACUGGAGAGAUGGCAGUUAUGAGGACUGACUGCUCUUCAAGAGGUCCUGAGUUCAUUGCCCAGCAACCACAUGGUGGCUCACAACCAUCAGUAAUGGGAUCUGAUGCUCUCUUCUGGUAUGCAGCUAUACAUCACCCUGAGCGGCUGACUUACCUGGAACCUGGAGAUUUGGGCCCUAGGAGGACUUCCUCAGUUCUCAACCUGACCCGCAUGCCAACACAGGAGCCAAAAUGAUGGGGCAACAGACCGGAAGUAGGCUGGGUUGGGGUGGGGAAGACUAGGUCUGGACUAGUUAAAGCUAGAUGUGGUAAACCACAGAGUAAACACAAAGUGUGA